AAUACUGUGUAAGAUGUGAAUUUCCCAGGUCUAAUACUGUGUAAGAUGUGAAUUUCCCAGUGGGGAAAUGGUCUAAUACUGUGUAAGGUGUGUUGGGAUUGAGAGGUUAUUAGCUUCAAACUAGGGUUUUGUUUUUGUUUUUUCUCAUAUUAAGUCUGGUUAGCCUUAAAUAUAUAUGUAUGUGUGUAUAUGUAUGUUUCUCUUUAAAUGGUUUAUUUAGAUAAUUGGAGUAUCCAUUACCUGUAAUGUUCAUAAUGGC